CAACCAUUUCUGCACAAAGGUCAUACCCAGUUCAAGAGCAUGGAUGUUGGCAGUCACGAAUGCAGUGGGUCUCCUAUUUUCUGCUCUCGAGCAGUGGCGGCGAGAGGAGGAACUGUGACGUUUGUAGCUCAGCAGGGAGUAUCUGGGGACCCAGAUGUACUGAGAAUGCUGCAGCAAAGAUGACUUUUUCCAAACCUGUCAAAGCCUCUACAGAGUUCACUCUUGAUCUCCAACUCUAAAGGAAAAGAGGAUGAAUCCAGCGCUCUCUCAGAAAAAAGGUACUGAAUUUUCUUUGCUUAGUAGGUAGUAGUAAAUACAUAUAAGAUUCGUAUUAUUUUCUGUCCAUCUAUUAUUGCCAACGAUAGUAUCA
rnacentral:lncRNA from 1 species